UACGUAGGUGACAAGCGUUGUCCGGAUUUACUGGGCGUAAAGAGCGCGCAGGCGGUCGUUCAAGUCGAGUGUGAAAGCCCCCGGCUCAACUGGGGAGGGUCACUCGAUACUGGUCGACUUGAAGGCAGGAGAGGGAAGCGGAAUUCCCGGUGUAGUGGUGAAAUGCGUAGAUAUCGGGAGGAACACCAGUGGCGAAGGCGGCUUCCUGGCCUGCUCUUGACGCUGAGGCGCGAAAGCUAGGGUAGCAAACGGG
rnacentral:rRNA from 1 species